CCAAACUUGGUCAUUUAGAGGAAGUAAAAGUCGUAACAAGGUUUCCGUAGGUGAACCUGCGGAAGGAUCAUUAGUGAUUGCCUUAAUUGGCUUAAACUAUAUCCAUCUACACCUGUGAACUGUUUGAUUGAAUCUAACGAUUCAAUUUUUACAAACAUUGUGUAAUGAACGUCAUUAGAUCAUAACAUGAAAAAACUUUCAACAACGGAUCUCUUGGCUCUCGCAUCGAUGAAGCACGCAAACUUUCUCUUUUAGAGGAAGUAAAAGUCGUAACAAGGUUUCCGUAGGUGAACCUGCGGAAGGAUCAUUAGUGAUUGCCUUAAUUGGCUUAAACUAUAUCCAUCUACACCUGUGAACUGUUUGAUUGAAUCUAACGAUUCAAUUUUUACAAACAUUGUGUAAUGAACGUCAUUAGAUCAUAACAUGAAAAAACUUUCAACAACGGAUCUCUUGGCUCUCGCAUCGAUGAAGAACGCAGC
rnacentral:misc_RNA from 1 species